UACGUAGGGCGCAAGCGUUGUUCGGAAUUAUUGGGCGUAAAGGGUGCGUAGGCGGUUUGGUAAGUCUUAUGUGAAAUCUACAGGCUCAACUUGUAGUCUGCAUGAGAAACUGCCGGGCUUGAGUAUGGGAGAGGUGAGUGGAAUUCCUGGUGUAGCGGUGAAAUGCGUAGAUAUCAGGAGGAACACCUGUGGCGAAAGCGGCUCACUGGACCAUAACUGACGCUGAUGCACGAAAGCUAGGGGAGCAAACAGG
rnacentral:rRNA from 1 species